GGCUGUGCUUCCAGCUUCUCUGUGGCCUUCUGGAGAGAAAAGACCAAAGCAGGAUGGGUUCUGAGUCCUCUGGAAGUAGGAGAUCUGAUGAAAAGGGUGA